AGAGCAUACCGAUACCAGCCCGUACUACGAUCAGCUCGCCGCUAUACAUUUAUGGGCCACACACAGAUUGACGUAUUAUCCAACAACAACAGCAACAAAAGAGGAAGGUAAAUCACAUAAAAUAUUUAGUUAUUUGUUAUCGUAGUCCGUGGCACGUCAUUUUAGUUUGCUAAAAGCUGCAUUAAGCUAAUUCUAAUGCUGACUGGUGGACAGGCUGAUGCUAAAGCUAGGUACCUGUCCUUAGACAUAGAUCGACGCCGCAUCGAGUGGGUUUGUCCACUCAACGUCAACGUCAACGUCUCCGCCAUAUUGGAUGGGUCAAUUGACCCAUUAACAACUGUGCUGUUAAUGAAUACAAGUCAAUAUAGUUACUUUCAUAAAGCGCUGCUCGAUGCUGUCCACACCAAAACAAGGACAAAUCACUGAAAUGGAGUGUAGAGCUUCGCUUUUGUCCUUUGUCACCCACUCUUUACAACUGGGUGCACUCACCUGGCAGCAGCAUCAGCAUCGCCGUGGCAGCCAGCAGAGCGGUGACCAGUGUGGCGGAGAAACUUGUCAUCCUCGGUCCGGCCAUGACUUGACUCUUCUCUUGUCCUGCCAGGAAAGACAAAGUCAAAGGACUUUGACUAGCACAGAAGUCAAAAAUGACCCAAAACUUCACCGUGAACUUGACCCACUUAUGUAAAAAUAGCUGAACUUCUUACCUGUGGUUGCCUUGGCGACAAGUCUCACUGCGGAUCCAGCUGGGGGAUUCUGAGGGACCGGGAGGAUGACUGAUGGUCCACCUGUGCUCAAUGUGUGUGUGUGGCUAGACUCCCUGAGACAAACUGCUGUGACGGACGGAAUGGAGCCAGGUUUUAAACAAGGCCCAUCAUCAUUGACACACAACAGUGAAGCGAAGUGACAUCUCACGGCUUUCACCUUCUGAGGAAGAAGACUUGCACGUGGUGUGUUCAGGUGCAGCCAUACGUGUGGGAGAGAGAGGAUCUACGUCAGAGACAUGAGAAGCUAAUGAGGGGAGCCGAGGUACCACAUAAGCACUUCUCGGAGGCCGUUGCCAGCACCAAAACCACAAACACAGCUUAUGGCAUAAUGUGAGUGUGUACACACACACACAUACACACACACAGGGAGACAGCUGGUCUCCACAUGAGGAAUCUGCUAAUCUUCAGCUUCCUGCACACUUUGACUGUUGGGGCAUGUUGGCCUUGUAAGACAGAGUUGGACAGUUUGGCUGUGUGAAAUGCUGCGACAUGAUGCCAUGUGAGCGCACUGUGACUAGACUGGCCUGAAGGUAAGGUAAACAAGAUAUUGGGAUUUAGAAAAGUGUCGGAAAUUAAAGUUAUCGAGCAUUAUUAUUUUUCGUUGCUAUUUUUGUUGUUUGGGUCGUGAGAAGUUCGUGGCAGUCGGGUUUGAAGUUUGCCAAGCACUUGAAUCAAUGGACGCAUUGAGCCAACGAAAGAAAAACAAGUUUGUUUUGAAACCAUCUCUGCUGUGUCACGCUGCUGAUCAAAUUCGAGUCUUUGGGUUCUGUUUCUCUGGUUACAGAAUAACAACAUGCCUAGUGUGUAUGCAAAUGUGUGGGUGCAUCUUAUAAACCUACACGUGCAGCUGUCGCAACACAAGAGCAGCAUUGUAUGCAGCAAAAAGCGAUUCAACCUAUAAACCUUGUUUUUUUUUCCUAUUCAUAUCAUCCUUCCUGUUGCAUCAUGCCUCCUUCACCAGGCAUUUAGUGGCCCGUUUUACCGCAGGUAUGUCGUACAGUAUGUAAUUACGUUUUCUAACAGGUGUUUCGCACUGCCAGCAAACCUGCAAUCCAAGACGCCGGCAGAUUGGAACACGAUGCCGCCAAAAGCAUACUCAUAAUUUUCUCCAAAGCUGGAAUGUGAGCAAACCUCAGAAUUUGCAAGCCAAACACCUGGUUCUACGCCGCU